CCAUAAACCGACAAUAAAUUUUUGCAAAUUCUGUCGAUAAGGUUUCCACAAUUUGGUAUAAAAGAUCGAGAUUCUGAGAAUAUCAACACAGUAGCUGCAAAAUGUCUGAAAAUUUCACUUUAUUCCUUACCGCCUUGGGGCUGUUUUCGGUCUCCCUAACUGGUGCAUAUAAUAUAGCGUCACAUGUUGCUGAUGGUAAGAAUAAACUUAUCUAUGAAUUCAUUCAAUUAUGGGAAGUUCAUAAAAUGAUGCUAUUUUCGUUAGGAGUGCCUGCACACCUCAACAUAACUAUUGCCCCAUUCGUGCAGAUCGGCGAUGGAUACUACCUUAUUGAGCAGAAGGUGUUGAAGACUUGGUAUCAGGCGUAUUUGGAAUGUCGAAAACUGGGUGCCGAUCUAGUCAGUUUCGAGACCCGCAAAGAAAUGGAAGCAGUUCAUGCCCAUCCAUCUAUUACCGGAGAGAGGCUUCAAUUCUGGACUUCAGGCACAGACUUGGCAAAGCAGGGCGAGCAUGUCUGGUUCGCAAAUUCCAAGCCCCUGUCUAAAGAUUUUUGGUAUCCCGGAGAGCCAAACAAUUCCGGCGGCAACGAGCGAUGCGUUACAUUAUGGUAUAAAUUUAAAGAUAGCCCUGGCCUAAACGAUUUACCCUGCGAAAGGCUUCACCGUUAUAUUUGUGAAGCUCCUACUCCGAAGACAGCCUCUUUCGUUAUUUGGUAAAAUCCCAUAUAAUGCCAUUUAAUAAAAGCAUUUCAAUUUCUCAGAGAGAAAAGAUUUUUG
rnacentral:lncRNA from 1 species